AGAAAAGUUCCAACAAGGAAGUCCCUAAAAUUAAACAAAUAACAAAAACAAAACCAACACCCAAGACAGGUACCAUAAGGGAGCCUUGAAAUAACAUAAAACAAGAAGACAAAAAAAGGAGACGCUCACAUACCUUUUGCAUCAUGGCUUAACGAGAAAACCAGGAGACCAUCUCCAACACCCGAAAGGCGGUGAGCUAAUUUACCCUGCCUACAGAGCUAUUUACUACUGUUGCAAUAGUAGGAGAAAAGGAUAAAUUAGAGGUAAAAUGCCAACCGCACCGCCCGAUAGCUGGUUUUCGGGGAAAGAAGUAAAAGCUUCUCUAUUCAAAGGACACGCCUCCUAUUAUAUAAACGUAAGACGUCACCUACGAACUAGAAAGAGGAGUGGAGACAAGUCCCCUCCUCAAAAGAGAAACAACUCUAAGCGUAAAUAAGACCAUUCAAAACAAGGAUAACGUACCAAAGUAGGCCUAAAAGCUGCCAGCCUAAAAGAAAGCGUUAAAGCUCAAAAUACUUAUAUCCAGAAAUAUAUGAUCAAAAUACUAUUUUCGCUACGAGUACCCGAAAGUAACAAUGUUAAGACUAGUAAAUAGAUACUUUCCUCCUUCGCCAAGAAAUCAUAAAUAUCAACCCAGAAGAGUAAAAUACAAGAAAUUCUCACACCCACCAUUCUACCAACACAGGCGCGAAAACAGGAAGGACAAGCAGAGAGGAAGGAACUCGGCAAACCACAAGAAGGACUGUUUACCAAAAACAUAGCCCCUUGAAUAUAUAAAGGGUCCCGCCUGCCCAGUGGCCACCAUAAGGCUAAACGGCCGCGGUAUCUUGACCGUGCAAAGGUAGCAUAAUCAUUUGUCUUUUAAAUGGAGACUUGUAUGAACGGCGAAACCUUUUUUAGCUGUCUCCCCCUCUGCCCUUCAAAACUCUUACUUAUGUGAAGAAACAUAAAUAUACCAGAAAGACGAGAAGACCCUGUCGAGCUUCAGCCAAAAGGCGAAUUAAGAUUUCCUCACAAGCCUAAUAUCGCCAAAAGGCUUUGGUUGGGGCAACCAUGGAGAAAAAUUAUCCUCCAGAACAAGUAGACGAAACCUCUUCCCUACUACAAAUUAGAGAACCAGGAACUGGUAAUCGGAAAAAGUUACCGCAGGGAUAACAGCGUCAUCCCCUUUAAGAGUCCUUAUUGACGAGGGGGUUUGCGACCUCGAUGUUGGAUUGGGGGCCCCUUAGGGUGCAGAAGCUCUAAACGGUUAGACUGUUCGUCUAUUAAAGCCCUACACGAUCUGAGUUCAGACCGACGCGAGUCAGGUCAGCUUCUAUCUUCUUAUUGACUUUCCUAGUACGAAAGGACCGGAAAGUCCCUUUAAAUGGUUAACUUUAAAAAGGAAUAAAAAGAAAAUUUUUGACCUAAAAUAAUUCUCCAAAGCCUAAAUUUAUACCCCCAUAUUUAACCAAAGAUUUAUAUUAGGGUUCGAAAUCCUAUACAAGAAAAAUUUUCUAAACUUCUUGCAAGGGGGGGGUAUUAUAAGUUUUAUAAGUUUUUAUAAAAAUUACAAAUC
rnacentral:rRNA from 1 species